AGUGAACGCUGGCGGUAGGCCUAACACAUGCCAGUCGAACGGCAGCACAGUAAGAGCUUGCUCUUACGGGUGGCGAGUGGCGGACGGGUGAGGAAUACAUCGGAAUCUACUUUUUCGUGGGGGAUAACGUAUGGAAACUUACGCUAAUACCGCAUACGACCUACGGGUGAAAGCAGGGGAUCUUCGGACCUUGCGCGAUUGAAUGAGCCGAUGUCGGAUUAGCUAGUUGGCGGGGUAAAGGCCCACCAAGGCGACGAUCCGUAGCUGGUCUGAGAGGAUGAUCAGCCACACUGGAACUGAGACACGGUCCAGACUCCUACGGGAGGCAGCAGUGGGGAAUAUUGGACAAUGGGCGCAAGCCUGAUCCAGCCAUACCGCGUGGGUGAAGAAGGCCUUCGGGUUGUAAAGCCCUUUUGUUGGGAAAGAAAAGCAGCAGGUUAAUACCCCGCUGUUCUGACGGUACCCAAAGAAUAGGCACCGGCUAACUUCGUG
rnacentral:rRNA from 1 species